AUACGGAGGGUGCAAGCGUUAAUCGGAAUUACUGGGCGUAAAGCGCGCGUAGGCGGUUUGAUAAGUCGGAUGUGAAAUCCCCGGGCUCAACCUGGGAAUUGCAUUCGAUACUGUCAGGCUAGAGUGUGGUAGAGGGAAGUGGAAUUUCCGGUGUAGCGGUGAAAUGCGUAGAUAUCGGAAGGAACACCAGUGCCGAAGGCGGCUUCCUGGACCAACACUGACGCUGAGGUGCGAAAGCGUGGGGAGCAAACAGGAUUAGAAACCCUAGUAGUCC
rnacentral:rRNA from 1 species